rnacentral:rRNA from 1 species
GUAGGGAAUAUUGCACAAUGGGCGAAAGCCUGAUGCAGCAACGCCGCGUGCGCGAUGAAGGCCUUCGGGUCGUAAAGCGCUUUUUGGGGAGACGAGGAAGGACGGUACCCCCAGAAUAAGGAUCGGCUAACUACGUGCCAGCAGCCGCGGUAAAACGUAGGAUCCGAGCGUUAUCCGAAUUCACUGGGCGUAAAGCGCGUGCAGGCGGUUCGGUAAGUUGGAUGUGAAAUCUCCUGGCUCAACUGGGAGAGGACGUUCAAUACUGUCGGACUAGAGGACGGUAGAGGGAGGUGGAAUUCCCGGUGUAGUGGUGAAAUGCGUAGAUAUCGGGAGGAACACCAGUGGCGAAGGCGGCCUCCUGGACCGUACCUGACGCUCAGACGCGAAAGCUAGGGGAGCGAACGGGAUUAGAAACCCUAGUAGUCC